rnacentral:rRNA from 1 species
GAUGAACGCUGGCGGCGUGCCUAAUACAUGCAAGUCGAGCGAACAGAUGAGGAGCUUGCUUCUCUGACGUUAGCGGCGGACGGGUGAGUAACACGUGGAUAACCUACCUGUAAGACUGGGAUAACUUCGGGAAACCGGAGCUAAUACCGGAUAAUAUAUUGAACGGCAUGGUUCAAUAGUGAAAGACGGUUUUGCUGUCACGUAUAGAUGGAUCCGCGCCGCAUUAGCUAGUUGGUAAGGUAACGGCUUACCAAGGCAACGAUGCGUAGCCGACCUGAGAGGGUGAUCGGCCACACUGGAACUGAGACACGGUCCAGACUCCUACGGGAGGCAGCAGUAGGGAAUCUUCCGCAAUGGGCGAAAGCCUGACGGAGCAACGCCGCGUGAGUGAUGAAGGUCUUCGGAUCGUAAAACUCUGUUAUUAGGGAAGAACAAAUGUGUAAGUAACUAUGCACGUCUUGACGGUACCUAAUCAGAAAGCCACGGCUAACUACGUG